AAAAAGGGUACUCGCUACUUCAAUAGCGCGUCGUGUCGGUUUUUAACGUCGACAUGGCGGGGUAUGGCCAUCAAGACAUAUCCAGUACAUAAUUUUUGUGAACGCGAGGCUGUUGGCUGCCAAUUAAGCACCGACGCCUCC